UACGGAGGGGGCUAGCGUUGCUCGGAAUCACUGGGCGUAAAGCGCACGUAGGCGGCUUACUAAGUCAGGGGUGAAAUCCUGGAGCUCAACUCCAGAACUGCCUUUGAUACUGGUGAGCUUGAGUCCGGAAGAGGUGAGUGGAACUGCGAGUGUAGAGGUGAAAUUCGUAGAUAUUCGCAAGAACACCAGUGGCGAAGGCGGCUCACUGGCCCGAUACUGACGCUGAGGUGCGAAAGCGUGGGGAGCAAACAGG
rnacentral:rRNA from 1 species